UAGGGAAUCUUCCGCAAUGGGCGAAAGCCUGACGGAGCAACGCCGCGUGAGUGAUGAAGGUCUUCGGAUCGUAAAACUCUGUUAUUAGGGAAGAACAAAUGUGUAAGUAACUAUGCACGUCUUGACGGUACCUAAUCAGAAAGCCACGGCUAACUACGUGCCAGCAGCCGCGGUAAUACGUAGGUGGCAAGCGUUAUCCGGAAUUAUUGGGCGUAAAGCGCGCGUAGGCGGUUUUUUAAGUCUGAUGUGAAAGCCCACGGCUCAACCGUGGAGGGUCAUUGGAAACUGGAAAACUUGAGUGCAGAAGAGGAGAGUGGAAUUCCAUGUGUAGCGGUGAAAUGCGCAGAGAUAUGGAGGAGCACCAGUGGGGAAGGCGACUUUCUGGUCUGUAACUGACGCUGAUGUGCGAAAGCGUGGGGAUCAAACAGG
rnacentral:rRNA from 1 species